UACAGAGGGUGCAAGCGUUAAUCGGAAUUACUGGGCGUAAAGCGUGCGUAGACGGUUAUGUAAGUCGGGUGUGAAAGCCCCGGGCUCAACCUGGGAAUGCCAUUCGAGACUGCAUAGCUAGGGUGCGGAAGAGGGAAGCGGAAUUUCCGGUGUAGCGGUGAAAUGCGCAGAUAUCGGGAAGAACACCCGUGGCGAAGGCGGCUCUCUGGGACGGUACUGACGCUGAGACGCGAAAGCGUGGGGAGCGAACAGG
rnacentral:rRNA from 1 species